CUAAUUUGUUGUCUAUAACAAUUCCCAAAUCCUUCUCGUGUGUGGUUAUCCCUAAUUCACUACCAUUUAGUGUGUAAGUUGCUUGUGCAUUCUUAACCCCGAAGUGCAUAACUUUGCAUUUCUCUAUGUUAAAUUUCAUCUGCCAUUUUAGUGCCCAGUGGAGAAUUUUGCUAAACAUUUAUUAUUUAUGUGCAAAAAGUAUAAAGAUUUGAUCAAGCAAAAAUACAACAUACUAAUGAGGCCAUAAUAUAUCUUUCACACUUUAAAAUUGUAUUGAUGCCUGAGUGUCACUUUAAGUAGCUUAUAACUAAGUGGAGCGAAUCUCGUUUAACC